UGGGCCUCCCAAAUCCCCUCCCUACUGCGGCGAAUCCAAAUGGAGCAGGCUCGAGUUCCUCCAAGCCAUGGGAAGGCGCCGCGACGGCGACGGCGACGGCGACGGCGGAGAAAGCGGGGUGGCCGACGGCCGACGAGCGUGGCGACCGGGCGGAUGGAGCCUGCACUAGCUCAACUUUUAAGGCGGCAUUAUCUGUUUGUAGGUCUGAACUUGCAAUUCCCGAGGUUUUGUUAGAAUUUGGAGUGAUUUGGCAAACUAAUUGUGAAACUGAGCAGCAAAGCACUGCAUGUCAUUGUGAUCACUGUGUUCAUGGAUUUUAUCACCAUCACAGGGCCUUAAAUGAACAAGCGUCAUAUUGCAGACUCUUCUAUGCAACGGCACAUACACAUCAGCUUGCCACUACAUCCAGAGAUAUGCCUGGGCUCACAUUCUUCACGGACAUACGCAAUUUCGCUUCUAUUCUGGGCCGAGAUUUAUUGUCAGGCGCAUGCAAUGUCAAAUGAUGGGCUUGGGCCGCCUUUUCUAUUGGAUCAAUGCUGUGUGGUCUAUGCAAUUCAGUUUGAAGAAAAUUGGGGGUGGGGGGAACGAUUUCAACCACUAGAGGCCUAAAGAACACAAAAACCAAACAAAUGGAGCAUGGGAUGAAAAAUACAAAACAGCACGUAUUAUGGAUUCAAGCAAUACAGGGGGAGGGAGGCAUGUCUCCAAAAAAAAUUGAUGUGCUAUUUCAAUCUUAAAGUACGUAUUCCUUCCGUCCUAAAAAAGACUCAACCUAGAUUCGUACAAAUUUUAAAGUAGGUUGAGCUUUUUUUUUUUUUUUGACUGAAGAAGUACUCUUUAGGGUCAGUACUUUAAAAUUUGUCUAAUUCAGACAAGUUAGAAGCGAUCGAAGGAAGAGUGAAAAAAUAUAUAUACAUACCCGAUGGAUUGGACGAAGGCGAUGACGGUGACGUACCAGAAAUCCUGCUUCUUGACGAGGGUGGAGAAUCCACCGAGCAGAACGACGGUCGCCCAGAUAGUGGCCAGUGUGCCGAGGCCAUUCAUCACCCUGUACACGAAAGCAGUGCAGAGUAGGAAGAUGUUGAACUUCUCUUCCGGCAGCGGGCUCUCCUUCCUCGACCUCCUCUUCUCAUCACCAUCCAAAGCAGAUGUUGAUUCAUCCAUGGUGUAAUUUCUUUCAAUUACCCUAGCAGGCUACACACUACACGACUGUGUCAGCUGAUAGCAAUCUACUACUAUAUAUAUAGGGGCCAAUCUCUUUGGUACGUACCAUCGGAAGAAAAAAAGCCAUCGAAUGUGCUAUACUCCCUUCGUCUUAUUUUAAACGUCGGACACGGAAACCCACAAUUGCAUUUAAAAUGUGAUGGAGGGAGUACCGGUUAUUGAUAUGGAGGCUCGGCUAUGCUCCACGUGUCAUUCUCAUGCAUAAUAGUAUUUUGUAUUUUUUGUAUUUAAAAUUUGUACCACGAUAUAAAAUUUUUGGAGCAUUGAUAUCAAUGUACGAAAAACUAUAUAUCUUUGGCCAAUGAGUUGCUUGGAAGGAAAUCUAAACGAUUUAAAA